rnacentral:lncRNA from 1 species
CCAGAAGGGCCUGGCUGCACAGGAACAGAGCCAAGCCUGUUUUCCAACAAUUAACUUUUCUCAACCACAGCCAUUCUCUGAGGCAAAAUCAAAGUCAGAGUGGCUUCCUUCCUCCCCAUACCUGCCCUACUCUAAAGGGUGAAAACACAGCUCAAGUGGGCACCCCUGGGAAAGCAAAUCUGAAAUGAUCAAGUCACCAGGAAUUGGACUGAGAACCGACUAUACAUGCGCCAUUUCCCAUGACUCCUCCAAAAGCCUUCGAAGAGAACUGAAACUACUAACCCAAGAUCACAGACAUAUUCUCACUAGACCCGGAAGGAUGAAUGACACAAAUCUAUGACCUGGAGCAGGGUCCAGCCUGGCCCAAACAAGAUCAGUAGAAUGAUACUGGAUGUCACACAAGCAUGUGAGUAAGAAAAAAUGAUAGUGAUUUAAGACACUGAGCUUUGGAGUGAUUUGUUAUAAAGCAUUUUAUGGGAUAAUGGACUAAUAGAAGCUUUAAUUUUUCGUUGUUGUUCAAAGACUUCUUUGAGAAUAUGAUGAAAGCUGUGGACUUUCUUCCUAAUAAAAGCAUAUGCACAAAUUUAAAAUUUUGCA